AGUCUGGACUUAGAAGCGAGGUGCGUCGGUUGACGUACGUGAGUGGUUUGUGUGAAUAGUUGAUACGGCAGACGGUGCCAGGCAGUCGGUGCUAUGCAGUCGAUGUGUGAGAUGAUGCCGGGCAAUUUCGUGUGAAACAGUUGACAGAGUAUGGAGUUGGUUUCAGCGGUUAAUGCGAACAGUGGACGGUUUUGAGCUAGCUGCGAAAAUAGUGAGAACUUGAGAACUGUAUGAUUUCUACGAUAAUCUCAUAAACUGACGAGGCAAAUCCAAUUUAACCCAAAGCAUUGACGAGCAUUAAAUUGAAUGCGAAAUCACUGUGAUCUGGCUAUGCCUAGGCGCUGAGGGAACUUGCCUCCCUUGAAAGUCAUUAAGGUCACUGCUCGGGAUCGAACUCGAAGUCUUGGGGUUAAGAGCGAAAUUUCCUCAAGACACCUGAUGAAGGCUGGAUGGUACAUCAGCCGAAACGUUGUGUUAACAGCAAACAAGAUGAGGACAUAUAUAUCCGUCUAAUGUAAAUAAUGAACAUCGACAAGGCAUGUUUGUAUACAUGCACAUUUGUGUGCAUUGUUUUAUGUAUGUAUUCUCAUGCAUAUACGAGGUCACGAGCCUAGACAUGCUCAUAUAUACUUAGAUGAUAAAUUUCUGAAAAGGUUUGCUGAUUUGUACAGUUCCAGUGAUGGCUUGGAUCUGUAGUCUUCGAAUCAGCUUUCUCCUCUCUGGCUUUGAGAAACCUAAUUUCUCAAGACUGGUAUUUAGCGAGCUGGCAAAAAC